rnacentral:lncRNA from 1 species
CAUUAUUCAUCCUAUCCUAUUUACUGUUGCGAUAUUUUUCCGGUGUAAUCUUCGAUUGCACCCUGAUUUGGUAUUCUGACAUGUUUCUUUUUGAGCUUCGAAAAGGUUCACAUAUCCCAGGAAAAGGUUAUUGGCUAGGUAUUCCACUUUAUUUGUGGGAUACCCUUGUGGAGUUUUCACCCUAAAUUACCUAAUUAAUUUUGAUGUAUUAAUU